rnacentral:rRNA from 1 species
UACGUAGGCAGCAAGCGUUGUUCGGAGUUAUUGGGCGUAAAGGGCGCGUAGGCGGCUCUGCACGUCCGUUGUGAAAUCGCCCGGCUCAACUGGGCGGGGUCAGCGGAUACGGCAGAGCUUGAGCAAGCUAGGGGGCAAUGGAAUUCCCGGUGUAGUGGUGGAAUGCGUAGAUAUCGGGAGGAACACCAGUGGCGAAGGCGGUUGCCUGGGGCUUUGCUGACGCUGAUGCGCGAAAGCGUGGGGAGCGAUCCGG